rnacentral:rRNA from 1 species
UACGUAGGCCCCGAGCGUUGUCCGGAUUUAUUGGGCGUAAAGCGAGCGCAGGUGGUUUAUUAAGUCUGGUGUAAAAGGCAGUGGCUCAACCAUUGUAUGCAUUGGAAACUGGUAGACUUGAGUGCAGGAGAGGAGAGUGGAAUUCCAUGUGUAGCGGUGAAAUGCGUAGAUAUAUGGAGGAACACCGGUGGCGAAAGCGGCUCUCUGGCCUGUAACUGAUACUGAGGCUCGAAAGCGUGGGGAGCAAACAGG